rnacentral:rRNA from 1 species
UCUGAAACCGUAUGCCUACAAAAAGUCAGAGGGCGUUAAAGCCUGAUGACGUGCCUAUUGAAGAAUGAGCCGGCGAGUUAUGAACACAUGCGAGGUUAAGGAGAAGAUCCGGAGCCGAAGCGAAAGCGAGUCUUAACAGGGCGACAGUAUGUGUUUGUAGACCCGAAACCCGACGAUCUAGCCAUGAUCAGGAUGAAGUAAGGGUAAAACCUUAUGGAGGUCCGAACCGACGUUCGUUGAAACGCCCGCGGAUGAAUUGUGGCUCGUGGUGAAAUUCCAAUCGAGUCGGGUAAUAGCUGGUUCUCCCCGAAAUAGCUUUAGGGCUAGCCUUGGGACAUUGUUUAGUGGGGGUAAAGCACUGAAUAUGAGCGAGCCGCGCCAAGCGGUAUCAAUCAUAAUCAAACUCUGAAUCCCAUUAGAUGUACCCCAGGAGUCAGACUACGGGAGAUAAGUUCCGUGGUCAAGAGGGCAACAGCCCAGACCGCCGAUUAAGGUCCCUAAAUUCACGCUAAGUGUCAAAGGAUGUAGAGAUACUCAAACAGCUAGGAUGUUGGCUCAGAGGCAGCCAUCAUUUAAAGAAUGCGUAACAGCUCACUAGUCAAGUGUCUCCGCGCCGAAAAUUUACCGGGGCUAAGCGUGAUACCGAAAUCGCGGAUGAAUCCUAAAAAUUCGUGGUAGGGGAGCGUUCUGUUUGCAGUGAAGCCAUAUCGUGAGGAGUGGUGGAGCGUACAGAAGCGAGAAUGCCGGCGUAAGUAACGAUAAAGGGUGAGAAUCCCUUUCACCAAUUGACUAAGGUUUCCUGGGCAAGGUUCGUCCUCCCAGGGUUAGUCGGGACCUAAGGCGAGGCCGACAGGCGUAGUCGAUGGACAGCAGGUUGAUAUUCCUGCACCCGAGCACGCAGUGAUGCAAUGACGAAAACGGCUAUGCUCACCUCCGAUUGGAAGUGGAGGGCAGAGCGUAGGAGUCGAUUCCUUGUUAAGUACGGGAAUCAUUAAGACAAAGACGUGCGGUAUGAAAGUCGCGAGACGAGUAAGAAACAGCAGACGCCGAUUUCCAAGAAAAGUUGCUAACGUUAAACGUGUUCGGCCCGUACCGAGAACGGACACACGUGGUCAAGGAGAAUAUCCUGAGGUGAGCGAGAUAACUGUUGUUAAGGAACUCUGCAAAAUAACUUCGUAAGUUAGCAAGAAGAAGUGCUCCAGCGAUGGAGCCGCAGCGAAUCGGCCCAAGUAACUGUUUACCAAAAACACAGCUCUAUGCUAAGUCGCAAGACGAUGUAUAUGGGGUGACGCCUGCCCGGUGCCGGAAGGUUAAAAGGAGAGGUUAGGAGCAAUCCGAAGCUUUGAAUUGAAGCCCCGGUGAACGGCGGCCGUAACUAUAACGGUCCUAAGGUAGCGAAAUUCCUUGUCAGGUAAGUUCUGACGUGCACGAAUGGUGUAAUAAUUUGGGCGCUGUCUCGACAGCAGACUCGGUGAAAUCUUAAUACCGGUGAAGAUGCCGGUUACCCGCGACUAGACG